ensembl:lncRNA
AUCUUGCUGGAGACCCCUGUCUACGUGAGGCCUUCUGAAGGUCAGGCAUCUUACCAGUAGGAUCUGGGGACUCUCUCUGCUUUUCUCACGUAGGAUUGCCUUAGACAUUGAUCUACAAGAAGAUUCCUCCAAGUUCUUUCUUCCUCACUCACUGACCUACACACCAUUCUGCAGAGACAUCUGCCUUUAGAGUGGUUUGAAGAGUAGGUCUUCUCCCCUCUCACAGGCUAUUCUAGAAUACAUUACUCUUGCAAAUGGCCUGUUUGGUCCUUCUUGGUCUUGGUAAUGUCACUUGAUAGGCAGUUUCCCUCUCCUGGCUUUAUCCUUUAUCCUAUUAUUUUAAAUAGUGAACCUCUUCCAGCAGACUAUAAAAUGGACUGGUACUCACACAUUAUCUUCAUGAAAGAAAAGUUGUCGCUAUCCUCUCCAGUGACAGGCAACUGGAUCUUGAGACAGGAUCUGCAACAUGAAUUCAUGGCCUUGUGUUUUAGAAAGUAGUAUUUCUUUAAGCACAUAAUCUAUGCUUACUCGUUAUUAAUGGCCAGUUCUAACCAGCUUUAUGCCUAGUUUGACAUUUUGAAGAGUAUAACUGUCUUCCAGCAUUUCUGCAUGGACCUGGGAAGGUGCCUGGAUUCCACUCAGGGAAAAUAGCUUGAAAGACAAGGGCUACAUGGUGUCAAUUUGCAGGUGAUGCUGUUAGUGGUGGUGGUUGUUGUUGAAGGACAAAACACUGUUAGAAAAAUUAACAUAUUUUCAGAUUAAUCAUUUGAUAUCUGAAUGAACAGAGAGAAAGAAGUCAAAUGGUUCUGGAGGGAUUUCAAGCAGACUAUAUAUGAAAAAUUCAGCAUCCUUGGCCUCCUUUAUGUUAACUUGAACAGCUGGGGUCUGUCAGAGAUAAUGUGCUCUGUCUCCAGAUGGGAUACCACAUGUCACUGGCUGAUUCUUCCUUAAGAGAAUUAAUUGCCUUGUGUGACUGUAACCUGAUGCAAUAAGGCAGCAGUAGGUUAAUAUUGGAGUUCAAUACAAAUGGCGUUUGCAUACACUGAAAAUGCACCAAGAAGCCAACAUAAUACUGUUUCCCAAAGUGGAAGUUAAUCCUCCCUAUAUAAAUUUAAGAUUUAAAUAAUACAAACCUAAAAAUUGGUAUUGUGUUGUCUCAGGUAGCUAAAUACAACAUAUGGUAAAUUGGGCUGUGCAGAUACAAGCCCAUUUAGAACCCUCUUCAGCUGCAAGAUUCAGUUGUCAUGUUUUGUUAAGUCUGUUUUGCAAAGCAAAGGCAGAGCUUAUGCACACAUUCAGAGCAACAGAGGAUUUCCUACUAUGCCCCAGGAAAACUGAAAAACCAAACUAUUCUCUAAUGGAGUCAUGUUCUGCUGCAAUGAAAAAUGUGGUCUUUUUAGUAAACAGCUUUAAAGCUAAUUAAAGAGUAUCUUAGGCAACCUUAGCUUGUUUUUAAGAGUAAUGUUAUACAACUGUGUUUGCAGUUUUAGCUAUCAGCUACUGUGUUUGUCCACAACAACAGCAAAUCAUGACAUAAUCUCUUUAAGUGGUUUGGAUAGUUUUGACAGGAAAGCUGUAACAAAAGGUUGACAACACAGCUGCUAGAUCUCAAUUUAAAUUCUCCAUCAGCACUACUAGAAGAGAGAUUGUCUAAAAUACUUUCUUUAUAGAAGAACUUACAGAGCUAUUGUAAAGCAAUUUCCAUCCAAAAUGCAUUUUAGGGGAAGAAGGAAAAGCAAAAUUUUGUAUUUUUGUGUUAACAUAAUAACAGCUUGUAACAAAUAAUUUGCUUUGCCUUAUAAAUUAUUUGCAUCUUAAUUAGUACAGAACUGUGAUGUUCUACAAAAAAAGGGCAAUAAUCUAAAUGGUAAUCAGUAGUGAGAACUGAAGAUUAUUUUUCUUUUUCUUUUUCUUUUUUUUCCAAAGCUAAGAAAUACAAGAAGUAAAUGAAUAGUUUAAAUAGAGUAAAGGGACAAUUUCCCUACAAGACUGAUUUUGACUGCCACUAUCCCCCAAGAUAAAUUAGCCAAAUUCCCAGCUGAGAUCAAGAAUAGAAGGACUGUCUGUGGCAUCUAGAUGAAUCCAACAUUGGACUUUAUAGAUGUUCAUGCAGAUCAGCUCGUGUAUGCAGUAGGCCUUAGCAUGACUUUAUUGUCUGUCACUUUAACCAAAGUCUCUGGGUGCUUAACAAAUACCAUCGCUUUCUAUCUAUAUUAUCAAUAAAAGUAUAGCAGAAAGACAUGAUGAUGGGUACCACUUUCCAGUGUCGCUGUAUUCAGUAAAUGGCUCUUUCUCUAAUCUAAUAGGAAUUUCUCUGUAUCCUCACCAGCUAGAGAUUUUCCAUAUUACUAUGUAAGCUUGUGUUAACUCUCCUCUGUAUUGAUCCAUUCUUUUGCAAACUCCAUUUUUAACAGAUUUUUUUCCCCCAGAAGUCGGUAUGAAAAUAAAAACUUGAAUC